UGGAGCAGGGAAACAUCCAAAACAUGCAGGACAGAGGGGCUCGAGGACUGGACUUGAGAACCACUGCAUUAAAGGGAAGUAAGUAAAGGUAGUAAGAUGCAAUUCAGCACAUAGUAUUGGCUAUUCUUGGCAAAUGACUUCUUUGUCUUACUCAUGGCGGACUCACUGUUUGGACAAGAAAGGUUGUUUUAUUCUCAUUGUUGUAUUUGCUCUUUCGGUCUUAUCUGGUUUGAUCCAGGUAAACGUUGUUUGGCUAUCUUUGAGAUUCUUUAUGAACAUCCUAAUUUCAGACUGUCUUCCAGUGCAGCGCAUGUAUUUGAACCCAACACCAAGUGUCAGCUGUUGAUACUUGAAAAGACUCUUUACUCUUUUCAUCAUUAUUCUCCUUAAGUUUUGCAGAAACUUUGUGCAGGCCCCCGCUUAACAGAGAGCAGGGUGUACCUGGUGAUGUCACUGCGAUAAGCCCCCACCACGCUGCGGAAUACCAAACUGAGGGACGACCUCUGGAAGUUGCCAUGACGCCAACAACGAUCUGCUCUGUCUAAGUCCAACCUCCAGCAUGGAGCCUCUGCAGCACAUACAUAUGCACUGGCAUGGACUUAUACGUCAUACCCUCACUUUUACAAUCCUUCAGCUCCAGUGCACAGAGAAAUUGUGGUAGUUUGGUCGAAAUGAUUUCUCAAGGACUCUUCCCUCCACAUCCUGCUGGGUCUAGGAACCCAGCCAGGUUUUGAGGAGCAAAUGAAUGGAUUCACCCGAGUUGGCCGGACAAAGAGGGUGUGCAUUUCUGGCAGACAACAGCUGUAUUUCCUCUUCACCUGCCGGCAGAUGUUACCUGGGUAAUAGCAAGCAGCAGCCUCCACUUUUAGGAAAUUAUGUCAAUGUUACAAACACAAGGCUGAGAGAUCCCAAAAGCAAGCACUGCAAGACUAACCUAUAGACGGGUUUCUUAUGUACAAACACUUCAUGGGGCGAAAGCCUGCUUGGGAGUGAACUGAUAUCAGUGAAGAUGCAGUAUUGUUUCCUAGUUCUCCCUGACACAACUGCAAUAAAAUGUAAUUUCAUUGAAAAA